GGUCCCGUGGUCCAACGGCAAAGAUGCUUGGCCUACACCCAAGAGACGGUGGUUCAACUCCAUCCGGGACUA
rnacentral:tRNA from 1 species